rnacentral:rRNA from 1 species
CAGGUCUGCGAUGUGUCGCCACUGAGACGCGUGUCUAAGUAUAAGCAAUUUAUACAGUGAAACUGCGAAUGGCUCAUUAAAUCAGUUAUCGUUUAUUUGAUAGUACCUUUACUACUUGGAUAACCGUGGUAAUUCUAGAGCUAAUACAUGCUAAAAAUCCCGACUGUUUGGAAGGGAUGUAUUUAUUAGAUAAAAAAUCAAUGCUCUUUGAGCUCUUUGAUGAUUCAUAAUAACUUUUCGAAUCGCAUGGCCUUGUGCUGGCGAUGGUUCAUUCAAAUUUCUGCCCUAUCAACUUUCGAUGGUAGGAUAGUGGCCUACCAUGGUUUCAACGGGUAACGGGGAAUAAGGGUUCGAUUCCGGAGAGGGAGCCUGAGAAACGGCUACCACAUCCAAGGAAGGCAGCAGGCGCGCAAAUUACCCAAUCCCGACACGGGGAGGUAGUGACAAUACAUAACGAUACAGGGCCCUUUCGGGUCUUGUAAUUGGAAUGAGUACAAUGUAAAUACCUUAACGAGGAACAAUUGGAGGGCAAGUCUGGUGCCAGCAGCCGCGGUAAUUCCAGCUCCAAUAGCGUAUAUUAAAGUUGUUGCAGUUAAAAAGCUCGUAGUUGAACUUUGGGCUUGGUUGGCCGGUCCGCCUUUUUGGCGAGUACUGGACCCAACCGAGCCUUUCCUUCUGGCUAACCAUUCGCCCUUGUGGUGUUUGGCGAACCAGGACUUUUACUUUGAAAAAAUUAGAGUGUUCAAAGCAGGCCUUUGCUCGAAUAUAUUAGCAUGGAAUAAUAGAAUAGGACGUUAUGGUUCUAUUUUGUUGGUUUCUAGGACCAUCGUAAUGAUUAAUAGGGACGGUCGGGGGCAUCAGUAUUCAGUUGUCAGAGGUGAAAUUCUUAGAUUUACUGAAGACUAACUACUGCGAAAGCAUUUGCCAAGGACGUUUUCAUUAAUCAAGAACGAAAGUUAGGGGAUCGAAGAUGAUCAGAUACCGUCGUAGUCUUAACCAUAAACUAUGCCGACUAGGGAUCGGGGUGUUGUUCUUUUUUGACGCACUCGGCACCUUACGAGAAAUCAAAGUCUUGGGGUUCUGGGGGGAGUAUGGGUCGCAAGCUGAAACUUAAGGAAUGACGGAAGGCCACCAACAGGAGUGGAGCCUGCCGCUUAAUUUGACUCACACGGGGAAACUCACAGUCGGACCAAUAAGGAAUGAACAGGAUUGAGA